GUAAAAGACAAAUAAAUUUUUUAUGUUUUUUUUAAAAAAUAAAUUAACAGAAAAUUUAAUUUAUUUAAUAAUAAAAUAUUAUUGAAAUUUAUAAAAUCAAUUAGCUAAGUUUGUGCCAGCAGCAGCGGUUAAACAAACAAUUUCUUACUUAAAAAUAAUAACAUUUAAAUUAAUUUUUGUAAAUAUUUUUUUAUAAAAAAGGUGAAAUUUUUUAAAAAAGAAACAAUUAAUUAAAAAAGUAAUUCAAUUUUAAACUAGGAUUAGAUACCCUAUUAUUAAGAACUUUAUAUUGUUAGUAUAUAAAGUGAUGAAAACAAAAAAUUAUGGCGGUACUUUAAACUUGUCAGAGGAAUUUGCUCUUUUAUGGAUAAAACACCUUAAUCUUACUAAAAUUAGUUAUGUCAAUUUGUAUACCACUAUUAAAUUAAUAAUAAUUAAUAAUUAUUAUUUAAAUAUUUAGAAAAAAAAAUAAAUUAAGUCAUGGUGCAAUAGAAAUUUUAGGAUGAAGUGAAUUACAUUUUUUUUAAAAUAUUUAAAUAAUGAAAAAUAAAAAUAGGAUUUGAAAAUAAAAAUAUAAUAUAAUGAUAUUUUGAAUUAAGUUCUAAAGUAUGUACAUAUCGCCCGUCGCUCUUUACUUUAAAGAUAAGUCGUAACAAAGUUAAAGUACUGGAAAGUGCUUU
rnacentral:ncRNA from 1 species